UACGAAGGGGGCUAGCGUUGCUCGGAAUCACUGGGCGUAAAGGGUGCGUAGGCGGGUUUUAAGUCAGAGGUGAAAUCCUGGAGCUCAACUCCAGAACUGCCUUUGAUACUGAAAGUCUUGAGUAUGGGAGAGGUGAGUGGAACUGCGAGUGUAGAGGUGAAAUUCGUAGAUAUUAGGAAGAACACCAGUGGCGAAGGCGGCUCACUGGCCCGGAACUGACGCUGAGGUACGAAAGCGUGGGGAGCAAACAGGG
rnacentral:rRNA from 1 species